ACCAUCAAGGUGUAACAGCUUGCCGGUC
rnacentral:sRNA from 1 species